UCUUUGUUAAUAUGUGUUUAAGCAUAGGGAACUUUGUUUUUACAGUUUAAAUGACCUUUAAACUAUCUGUUUUUUUUGGGGGGGUGUAACAGUUAAUAACGUAAAUGUCUCUGAGGUUUAAAAUUGAGGGGUCAUUUUUGUUGACUCUGACAUGUAAUGUCCCAGAUAGCAAACUGACAUAGAAUCAACGUCGAUUUUUGGUUGUAACGGUCAGUAUCGAUCGUCAAUCAAAUUUCGAUGUUGAAUCAACGUUCAUUAUUUGGUCGGUACAUCAGAACGUUAUUACGUCGAAAAUAAAACAUCGAUUCAACGUCGAAACCACGUUGGCUUAUCAACCGACACAGCCGACGCAUCUGAUCGAAAUCAUAACGUCUGAUACAGGUUGAAACUUGGUCAGAGGAAUCGGAGGAGAUCUGCGCCUGCACUCUCACAGAGGGGAACAGGCCUGUAACUGUACCCGGGUAACUAAAAUAGAUUUUUAUUUCUCUAAAUAUUAGCGGAAGAUGAAAGUUUUAAACAAUGAAUGACAAAACAUUUUAACUCGAGCUUUGUCGAAUGUUUUGUUAUUUUUUUCUGCAGUCAUUUUUUACACCGCUGGCAUAUAUAGACUAUAGCCUACCCUAUAAAUUAUAAAAAUGAAUUUCUUUUUCCUUAUUUUUCUUUAUUACACCUCUUGUUUGGUUUUAUUUCAUAUAAUUGCACGUUAAAAAUAAUUUACUUUGUUAUGCAGGCCCAAAACGUGAAACUGCAGUUUUAUUCCCAGCUAGGCUAUUUAUAGCAUUUACAUAAAUAUUUGUAAGAUAUAAUCAGCAUAUUUUCUUAAAAUGUUUUGUAUCUUAAUUAUUUAAUCCAUGAAUUAAAACAAGUUUUUAUAACGACAUAAUCUUGAUCAACAACAACUAAUGAUAAAUUUGUAGCGGCAUCGGUGCAUUAUCAUUUUUAAACUCAAAUAGCUUCAGUUUUAAGUUAUAACUGCAUCUGUCUCGGGUGUAGACUGGUGAAUUAUGUUAAUAAACCUAUAAAUAUGUUCUAGUAGGUCUACUGGCCCAUAUUCAGAUGUUUGUGCGGAGUGUGGAAUGCAGGACGGGGCGGCCGCGAGAUCACUUGCAUUUUUUUUUUUUUCCUAAUAAUGAAACAACAUCAGUUCGAAACUCAUAAUAGGCCCAACUUUAAUAAAUAAUUAAAAUUACUACUUUUUUCCCGACACAUUCAUAAUCAUUUGGCGACUUUUUCCUGUGCUUUGUGGCAAACUUUAUGCGUGUGCUUGAGCGCGGAAUUAAGGCUCACUGUGGAUUAUAAACUUUGGAUAAACAUGCGAUUAGGCCUAGUUGGUUUAAAUGAACGACUAGUUAAAUUGUUGGGGGCAGCUCUAUUAAACACGUCUCUGCUUUUAGAUCUGUCAAGUCCGUAACGGAGAGAUCACGUUGACUAGGCUACAUUGAUUUUCCCUCUGAAACACACACACACACACACACACACACACACACACACACAAAUGUAUGAAUAGACAACCUUUCUACAUCCGGCAGAUAUUGCUGCUUAUGGCUUGUGCAUUGUAAAUCGUACAAAAUAGCCUAUGUUAUCUCCCCAAAAACUCGUAUAUAAAUAAAUAAAAUAAAACACGUUUAUAGACUGAUUCUUUUUUGAAGUCUGGACUCUAUUUUCGGAAAUUUAAAAAAUAUAAAGAGAUGGUUCAACACAGGUCUAAUGAAUAGCCUAUUUAUAUGAGAAUUUGUGUUUUGACUGCGAAUGUCACGUCAAUAACGCUGGAAUUGCUCUAAUGUGAUGCUGGUCUUUGAAAUACAGGUACUUGCUUUUUUUUGUGCAAGUUUUUGAAACACUGCCAAAAAAAAAAAAAAAACACAAUUUCAUAAAAUAUUGUGCUUCACAUUUUCAUUCAUUUACUGUUUUUUUUUUUGUUUGUUUGUUUUGUUUUUUUUGUUUAUUUAUUUAUUUAUUUAUUAUAAAGAAUAGUUAGGUGUAUUAAUCUGGCCCUCUUAACUGCCCAAGUUUCUCUUGGACCCUUAGGGGAAUUAAUUGCCCACCCCUGGUCUACAUGCAAGCAGGCUUUCUAAUAAAAUAAGGUGGUUGAGUGUUCAUUAAAAAAUAAAUAUAUAUAAAAGUGCUGCUUUAUCCGACAAUAACGUGCAGGGUGUCAUAGAACUACAUUUAAAUGAAUUAAAUGUAUAGAUUUAAGUUAUUUAUUUAUGUAAUGUUCUAAUUUUAUAUGAUUAUUUAUGUAAAUUCUGCGUGACUGUGACGUGUUUUAAUGCGUGCGUGCUGAACGUUCGAGCCGCGUUCAAACGCUGGAGCGGAGGGAGUUGCCAUGGAAACGGAGCGGUAACACAACGACUGACAAGCAGGAAGCUCCGUUUCUCGCUACUGUUUGUACUGUUUUCGGAGAAAAACAAAAGCACAGCAAGAUGGGAGGCUCCAAGAUUUCACAAUUUCUGAAGGGAGCCGGAGACGGAGAGGAACACAAGUGAACAGACUCAGAGCGGACCUCCUGUCGGACAACAUCUCCCAGGCACAAUGAACAAUAUGGUUGGUUACUAGAGAUUACACCAGUUCCAGUUUGGAUCCAGCCUGGCGUGUGAAGAACUGAUUUAAAGUUUUCUGAAGGGAGGAACUUGUCAACAAAUCUACCUCACAGCACAUCAAUGAAAGCAGUUUGACGAUUACAGACGGGUGUGUUGGAUCAGGGUGAGAUCUGAAUUCUGCAGGUUUUCUGGAUUCCCAGUUGAAGACAUCAGUACAUCAGAUGUUGGCCUGGACAGCUGUAUCUACAGUACACCACACUGACCUCUCUGCUUUUGCAUAGAUGGCUGACUAACUCAAGUUCAGAGGCCAAGCGGGCCGCAUUUAAACUACAUAUUGCUAUAAUAUAAUAUAAUAUAAACCACAAAUUACAAUUUGCAUCAUCAGACUUUAAGACAAUAUUUGCAGAUUUACUGAUUUAGAAAUACAGUUUAUUACUUAUCUAAGUCUUGCUUGUCCUUGUCCUAUUUAAAAUAAGACUGAGCAUGAAAUAAAUAUAAAUAUAUAUAUUUUUUUUUUUAAAGAGUAAAAAUCUGGAACAAAAAAUUGGAUUAAAAGUUUGUUUUGCUAUAUUGAACAGAGUAGCCUAUUGAACAAACUCAAAAUGCUAAAACUAAAAACAUUCUUGAGCAAACAUAUUUCACAAAGUACUUUAGGAAGAAGUAUUAUUUUUCAUAUUUAUAUUUUUAAAAUAGAAAUCACUAUUCUCCCACCAUGAUUCUGAAAAAUGUAAUUUACUAGAGUUUCUAGAAAAAAAAUUGCUGCUGUCUAUUUAUAGAAUACAAUAUUCAACGAACUGAUAAAGUGAAACAAAUGAUUAAUAACUCAUAACUUCAUGACUUGCUCAUGAAGACUUCACUUGUUUCAUUCCUGAAUGAAUCGGUGUUUUUUGAACGAAUCUCAGUUUAAGUCACUUGUCUCCACCUGCUGGCGUUAUGUUGUAAUUGAUACAAUCUUUAUUAGAAUAAAUCACCUUUUUGAAAGUGAAGAUGCUUCAAUUUUGAUCGCUUCUGUAUAACGAUACAAAAGACUUUGUAAAGAUGUUUCACAUAAGUAAACUGCUCUCUGGAUCAGCGCGAACGCAGAUUUGAACGUUACAUUGUGAUUUAAGGCUUUAAUAGACAUGAAUCCUGUCAUUUAUGAACAAGAUUGCGUGGGUGAUUGAAUCUGUUCGCGAUCUGACUAUUUAUUUAAAUAUCCAACAGUAUACGACAAUAAACAUACGACGCGAUAUGGUUUAACUGUGUUCUUCAAGCCAUCUUUGGUAUUUUCAUAAUAAAGUAUAUUUAUAAUCCAAUGAUAAUUGACAUUGCCUUUACUGUAUAGUAGGGGUGGGAGAAAAAAAUCGAUUCUCCGAUGCAUCGCGAUUCUCCCUUCAACGAUUCUGAAUCGAUUCAGAAUAUUUCAGAAUCGAUUCUGAGCUUGUUUAUUUUUCCUGCAUAUGGCACGUGUGCGCGCUAGAGAUGCGGUGGGCUUCAUUGCACAGAAUUUGUGCUGUGAGACAGACUUUCACGUGCGCUUUGUGUUUGUUUGUCCUGAAGCUCGAUUGCGGCUGCGGUUAAAUGCACUUGCAUUUUCGAAUACUUUUAUACGAAAUUGAUGUACACACAGUCAAGUUAUGUUUUCAGAGCAGGACAAAACAUCUGCUAUAUCGAAAUAGAUCUGUGCAUUAACUAGCAGUCAUUAGAGUAUUAGUAGUAUGUCUGCUAAAUAUAUGCUAACACUUUCUUUUGAUGAUUCCCCAACAGACAAACUGACUAUAAGUAACUUUGCAAGUACGUCAACAUUCUACCGACCCUAACCUUAACCUAAGCCUACUAAUACUCUAAUGAGAGUUAGUUGACAUGUAGUUGCAAAGUUGCUUAUAGUCAAUAGACUAAGGGGACCAUCAAAAUAAAAUGUAACCUAACAAAUAAACACUGCAUUUUUUUUCAGUUGAAAUUAUUAAUUAGCUCACAUUAAAAUUAAUAUUAGCCUCACAGGGAACACUCAAAUAACACUCCACACCUAACCACUUACAAGAUGUACUGUAGUAAGAUACUAUGUAGAUCUUAAAUAAUGUCAAGAUAUAUAGUCCAUUAUAAAUGUAAAAGUAGAUUUAAUAUGGUGUUCAUUGUGUUAUAAAUAAUCAUUAAUCUUAAAAGUUAUAACCACAAAUGCAUAAUCAUUAUAAUGUAUUGUAAUUGUUAUUAUGAUUAUUUAUAAGACGAUAUAACAUAUUAUAAGGUUUUUUAUAAUGCAUUAUGCAUUCAUUAUAAUGCCUUAAGAAUAUCCUUAUAAUGUAUUAUAAAUAUGGGUUUCAAA